GGGUUAAGAUGUUUUGUGAUCUACUCUUUGAUUACUAAAUUUCAGGGUUAAGAUGUUUUGUGAUGCACUCUUUGAUUACAGAAUUUCAGGGUUAAGAUAUUUUGUGAUGCACUCUUUGAUUACUAAAUUUCCUGCCUUUUGGAGUGCUAAAUAAAAGGGGGAGAGAAAGUUAAUUUAUAAGAGGGUCCACGUGGAGCAGCAUCCAGAUCCGGACUGACAGAGAUUAAGGCACAGAGGAAAAGCUAAAACAAGCAUCCUUCAGCUGUUCCUGUGGAGGGCAAGGCAAGCACUGCUCUUCAGGAAGGGAGGAAAGCUGCACAGGAGGAUUUGUCCCCAUGUUCAGCUUGGUGGUUCCACAGAAUUGGGAAAUGUUGCAUAAACAGAGCCCUGUUCCUUCAGCUGUGCAUUGCAACUGGAAACAACCUGCUUCCAGCAGCACUGGGACUUGGUGAAGUCACAAGCAUCUAAAAAAUAAUAUUAAAACCUUGUCCCAGAAAUGCUCCCUGCCUUAGGUGGCUGAAAGCUGUCUCCCUGUCCUGUUCUUGCCCUUUUUACCUCGCUGGGAAUCUCGUGCUCUCAGCAGUGUCUGGAGCGAUUCACCUGGCUUCUGUUUGCUCCCAAGGAUGUGGGAGAUUUGCAGAACCAGGGCAAGUCCUGAGGUCAGACCUGGCUUUACCCUUCAUUUUCUAGCAGCUGCUUCGUUGUUUUCUUGAGGUUGCUGCUACCCCUUUAAAAACAAGAAUCCCAGGAAUUUUCUUUUGAAACAGGCUUCCCCUCUCCAAAUCCAAUUAUACUCUUUCAGCUGGGUCAUUUUCAGCCCCUGCCGUCUUUUUGGUUCUUUGGGUUUUUUACUGAAUUUAUUAUAAAACACAGCCCUGCCACAGGGAAAGCAAGGGGGAUUUUCACCCUGCUGACUCCCAGCUCUGCUCCAGAGCCGCUCCUGGCUCAGGUGGGUUUGUUUUUCCCUUUGGAAACCACGGCAGGGCAGGGAGAGGCAGCUCCCCCUGGCCAGACUGGGAGUGUGGGGCUCAUCCCACGCAGGAGCUCAGGCCACCCAGGGAAUCACAGCAGGAAAAAGGAAAAGGAUUCAGGAUGUGAAAGUGGGAAGCCAAGCUUUAUCAUUUGUGUCAGCUGAGAUAACGGGGUGCAUUCUAUUUCAGCAAUGACAGGAAAAAUUCAGCGUGCCGGGUGGCCUGGUGUCAGUGGGAAAUGACACCAGAAUCUUGGAACGAAUCAUCUUAGUUUAGAAGGAAUAAAAAUGGAACACUUUGUUAACUAACAAAUAAAUCAAUCUCUGAAGCCAUUCCAUACAAUUUCCACCUCAAGUGUCAAACAGUGUUCAUGUUGUAGCUGUGGAUAAAGACCCCCUUGUUGUGCUGCCAAUAAUGGACCACGUUGCCUUCUUGAAAAAAAUGGACAUCUGUUCUUAGAAAACAUCAGGAUACUUCCAAAUGCAGUACAAUUAAAUGUAUUCCUUAGCUUCAAAACAAAGUACAACAGUCCCAGGUCAUUCCUGGUUUUGCUGUCUGCAGAGUGCUGUUAACUGGGCUUAAACAGGGAUUAUUUAAUGCUGAUUUGUUUUAUUUUAAUUAACCCCUCUAAUUCAUCUUUCAAACGCUUCGUGGCCUUUCCCACUUCAGUGCUGUGUGUGUGAAGCCUUGCAGGCGGGGGGAGCAGGCUGGAGGCAGGAGGACGUGUCACUUGGGAGGAUGCCACCCCCCUGCUCAGGUGUCCUUCUGCUGGAGCAGACGCUUGUUGUGUAACAUUUCCCAGUCUCUGCCACUGCCCAGCAGAAACAAUGGAACAAAUCAAGUGCAGAGGCUCUCAGGACUGAAAAAUGCAUUCACUUUUGUUGUGAAAUCCCAUGUAAUCUGUAACUGCACACAGCGAGAGAGGGCAAAGACCUCUGCUUCUGACAG